UGACACCAGGACAAUAAUAUAAGUUGACACAGAUAUGGGGCUGCCACUGAGGAGAGAGAAGACUGAAAGAAGCACAUAGAUAAAAGAUUAUCUGAGUAGGCUGAAUGAUCGGUGAAAAGGAGGCCAAGCAUCUCAAAAAUAGGACACCUGAGAGUAUGAAGCCAAUGUGACACUCAGGUGCCUGCCCAUUCAACACUAUGAAAACUUCCACCUGCUGAUAAAGAAAGAAGCAGACAUCAAUGGAAAGACAGCAUCUUGCUCCCACUGUCUCCUCAAGCUCUUCCAGGCUAGAUAAAGCUCAGGCCUGACUACUCUGCCAGAAAAAAAGAAGACAUCCAGAGAUGUGGACGUGGCUGGAGAGAGAUCCUCCAAGAAGUGGUAUCAAGUCUGUGUGUCUCUUUGAGAGCACCAUCUUCAGAAAGAGCAACUCAAUCAGUUUUUUGGACUCUGACCCACCAAAUAAUCAUGACUUUCUUUGUGUGUAUGCAUGUGGCAGGGUAAGUGGUUGGGGUGGAUUUAAUGCCUUCCAUCCUUAAUGGGGAGACAGGAGCUGCAGAGGCACCCAUAGUCCAAAAGGAAAGUUACUGACACUCCCCAUCGACGACUCCCCACUCAACACACCUUCAUCAUCUUCUGCCCCAGUUACGUCUUUCCGGCUGAAUGUGGUGUUCUCUCUUUUCACUCUAUUCUGAAUUUGCUGUCAGAGUGGUUUUCCUGAAGCACAACUUUGAUUUUUUCACUAAAUGCUCAAAAAUACUCCAUGGCUCUCACUCUCUGGAGCAGUGGUGAGCAGUCUGGCCCUCCUGUUUUUGUAAAUAAAGCUUUAUUGGAACACAGCCACAUGUACAUAUUAGCCAUGGCACUCUCAUGCUACAAAGUCAGAGUUGAGUAGUUGCAACAGAGAAUACAUGACCUACAAAGCCUAAAAUAUUUACCAUCUAGUCCUUAAUAUUAAAAAAUUUGCCAAAUCCUGGUUUAGAGAAA